AGCGAACGCUGGCGGCAGGCUUAACACAUGCAAGUCGAACGGGCAUCUUCGGAUGUCAGCGGCAGACGGGUGAGUAACACGUGGGAACGUACCCUUCGGUUCGGAACAACUCUGGGAAACUGGAGCUAAUACCGGAUACGCCCUUAUGGGGAAAGGUUUACUGCCGAAGGAUCGGCCCGCGUCUGAUUAGCUAGUUGGUGGGGUGACGGCCUACCAAGGCGACGAUCAGUAGCUGGUCUGAGAGGAUGAUCAGCCACACUGGGACUGAGACACGGCCCAGACUCCUACGGGAGGCAGCAGUGGGGAAUAUUGGACAAUGGGCGCAAGCCUGAUCCAGCCAUGCCGCGUGAGUGAUGAAGGCCUUAGGGUUGUAAAGCUCUUUUGUCCGGGACGAUAAUGACGGUACCGGAAGAAUAAGCCCCGGCUAACUUCGUG
rnacentral:rRNA from 1 species